ACGGAGGGUGCGAGCGUUAAUCGGAAUUACUGGGCGUAAAGCGCAUGCAGGUGGUUCAUUAAGUCAGAUGUGAAAGCCCGGGGCUCAACCUCGGAACUGCACUUGAGACUGGCGAGCUGGAGUACGGUAGAGGGGGGUGGAAUUUCAGGUGUAGCGGUGAAAUGCGUAGAGAUGUGGAGGAACACCGAUGGCGAAGGCAGCCCCCUGGGCCGAUACUGACACUCAUGCACGAAAGCGUGGGGAGCAAACUG
rnacentral:rRNA from 1 species